rnacentral:rRNA from 1 species
GACGAACGCUGGCGGCGUGCUUAACACAUGCAAGUCGAACGGAAAGGCCCUGCUUUUGUGGGGUGCUCGAGUGGCGAACGGGUGAGUAACACGUGAGUAACCUGCCCUUGACUUUGGGAUAACUUCAGGAAACUGGGGCUAAUACCGGAUAGGAGCUCCUGCUGCAUGGUGGGGGUUGGAAAGUUUCGGCGGUUGGGGAUGGACUCGCGGCUUAUCAGCUUGUUGGUGGGGUAGUGGCUUACCAAGGCUUUGACGGGUAGCCGGCCUGAGAGGGUGACCGGCCACAUUGGGACUGAGAUACGGCCCAGACUCCUACGGGAGGCAGCAGUGGGGAAUAUUGCACAAUGGGCGGAAGCCUGAUGCAGCAACGCCGCGUGCGGGAUGACGGCCUUCGGGUUGUAAACCGCUUUCGCCUGUGACGAAGCGUGAGUGACGGUAAUGGGUAAAGAAGCACCGGCUAACUACGUGCCAGCAGCCGCGGUGAUACGUAGGGUGCGAGCGUUGUCCGGAUUUAUUGGGCGUAAAGGGCUCGUAGGUGGUUGAUCGCGUCGGAAGUGUAAUCUUGGGGCUUAACCCUGAGCGUGCUUUCGAUACGGGUUGACUUGAGGAAGGUAGGGGAGAAUGGAAUUCCUGGUGGAGCGGUGGAAUGCGCAGAUAUCAGGAGGAACACCAGUGGCGAAGGCGGUUCUCUGGGCCUUUCCUGACGCUGAGGAGCGAAAGCGUGGGGAGCGAACAGGCUUAGAUACCCUGGUAGUCCACGCUGUAAACGGUGGGUACUAGGUGUGGGGUCCAUUCCACGGGUUCCGUGCCGUAGCUAACGCUUUAAGUACCCCGCCUGGGGAGUACGGCCGCAAGGCUAAAACUCAAAGGAAUUGACGGGGCCCCGCACAAGCGGCGGAGCAUGCGGAUUAAUUCGAUGCAACGCGUAGAACCUUACCUGGGUUUGACAUGGAUCGGGAGUGCUCAGAGAUGGGUGUGCCUCUUUUGGGGUCGGUUCACAGGUGGUGCGUGCCUGUCGUCAGCUCGUGUCGUGAGAUGUUGGGUUAAGUCCCGCAACGAGCGCAACCCUUGUUCACUGUUGCCAGCACGUUAUGGUGGGGACUCAGUGGAGACCGCCGGGGUCAACUCGGAGGAAGGUGGGGAUGACGUCAAGUCCUCAUGCCCCUUAUGUCCAGGGCUUCACGCAUGCUACAAUGGCCGGUACAGAGAGUGGCGAGCCUGUGAGGGUGAGCGAAUCUCGGAAAGCCGGUCUCAGUUCGGAUUGGGGUCUGCAACUCGACCUCAUGAAGUCGGAGUCGCUAGUAAUCGCAGAUCAGCAACGCUGCGGUGAAUACGUUCCCGGGGGCU